GACGAACGCUGGCGGCGUGCUUAACACAUGCAAGUCGAGCGGAGCGGCGAACGGGUGAGUAACGCGUGAGUAACCUGCCCCCCUCCCUGGGAUAACAGUUGGAAACGGCUGCUAAUACCGGAUAGGGGGAUGGACUCGCGUCCUAUCAGCUUGUUGGUGGGGUAGUGGCCUACCUAGGCAACGAUCCAUAGCCGACCUGGGAGGGAGAUCGGGCACAAUGGGACUGAGAACAGGGCCAGACUCCUACGGUGGGGAGCAGUAGGGAAACAUCGGGAAAGGGGGGAAGCCUGACCGAGCAAAGGCGCAUGAGAGAAGAAGGUUUUCAGAUCGUAAAGCUCUGUUGUUAAGGAAGCGGUACUUACCCAGAAAGGGAAGGCUAACUACGUGCCAGCAGCCGCGGUAAUAC
rnacentral:rRNA from 1 species